GAAGAUAUUUAUUUCUGUGUUAUCAACAACAGUGACAAAUGGAAACGAUGACGAUAAAUCGCCAUACGGUGACGACACAGCAGUGGCUGCACCGAUGGAAGUUACCAAGUGCCGGGUAAGGUGCUAUGUACUUGAAAUGUUCUGUAAAUGAAUUUGUAUCCAAUGUGCAGAUGGGGACACAGAGCUGACUUGCUGGGGGCUCUCUUGCCCACAGAGGGGCUUCACUCACCGGGUUUGGGAAGAACGGGGACUCAAGGUCUUGCUUCCCAGCCUGAGUUAAGAAAUGAUAAACUAUGCCUGCUUUGCAAACCCAUGCCAAACCUUCUAUCCUACUUGGCAGAGGCUGCCUGGGACAGGGGAGAGUCAAGGGCACGCUCCAGCGGCUGGGAUGCGGUGGUUCUUUCAGCCCUAAGCACCCUCAGCUCCCCAGGACAGCGCACAGGAAACCGGAUCCAUCCGUCCUCUGAAGUGUGCAGCCCAAGGACUUUGCCGGCCUUUAUCUCUGACCUUUAGUAGAUCAACAGUAAGCAAACAAACUCUUUCCUCUGCCCCGCCCUCCCCUCUUUCUAUUGUUGCCAGGGUCCACGGUUUCCUCUGGAAUCCCUGAGCAAUUCUCCGUGGAGUCGCACUCAUUUCCUGUCCGGGGAGCCAGGGCAUCCGAUCGGCGGGCCAGAAGCAAGCCGAGGAGCAGGCAGCCCGGGGUCUGUUUCUCCUCAUUGUCCUCAGGGAGCCCGCGCUGCUCUGCUCCCCUCCAGCCCAGGGCGCUGGCACCAGAACCGAGCCCAGGUUGUCCCAGCACCACCACCCUCUGCCCUUUUCUUUGGCCUGUUCUUCGGGUAUUUUGAGAAAAGCCCAAGGAUUCCUGCGCGGCUGACUUUCACAACAGCUACAGUUACGGGACCAGCUUGACCCAGUUAAGGAAAUCCAAAUUUACCCAAACUGAAGCUUCACUGGAGCCGAACUGUAACUGCUUUCCUUGGACCUUUGAGCCUCUGCCUGUUCCCUUUGGCUCCUUCCUUCCCACUGUCCUCCAGACAAUGCGGGACCUCUGAUUACAAGCAAAGUCUCCAGACCACCUCUCCUCGACCUGUCUUAAGCGUCAACUCCUUGGAGCCUUUUGGGGGGGGGGAAUCAAGAAAUAACUUGAUCAGUUAAUUAACUGAGCAUUCUGAGUUGAUGGCCAGUAGUCACUUCAGGCCAUUUCCCAAGUAUUUAACAUUUGACUGAUGUGUCAACAACAGUUAAUCCAAAGGCCUCCUUCCGAUGAGAACUUUAGCCCCACAGCGUGGGCAAAUAUCUCCAGUCAUGCCUGCUUCUCGGCUGCAUUUGCUUUUGGCCUCUCUCUGUGACUCUAGACCUCUAGGCAGUGCCUCCCCGUGAGGGAGACUCUGAGCUUGCCCUGGAGCAGGGCGUGUUCUUGGAGGUAAAGCCUGGAAGCUACUCAGGGCUGCUCUGCUCCCUUGGACCUCUCCCUGGGAACACGGGUGAUCAAAUGAACCGAUCCAAUGCGAACCUGAAUAUGCACUGAGUUUCUAGGAUCAAGAAUCAAAUGUGAAUUUCCUCCUUCUUCUUUGACUUGCACUAAGGUUUUCCUUUCCUUUGUUUUUCUCAAAGCAGGAGGAAGCAGCGAGGGAGAGGGACAGUCCUGAGGCCAGAGGACAGGGCCUUCUUUCUAAUAUUGUUUUUAUUGAUGAAUAGCCAUCUCACUCCCUCCGUUUCCUGGCUCUCUCCCCGGCUGCAGUGCACUCAAUUAUAUUUUCUGGAUUGUGUGCUACAGGGAUCAUUCUGCCUUAUUCUUUUCGAAAUUGGUUGGAAUUUCAAACAAAGGGGAAUGUGUUUUUAAGGAGGAAACAGGGGGAGUGAAAACUGCCCUGUCUUUCUGGCUGCAGACAAACGACUAUUUGGUGAGCUUGCAAAAUCUGCCGGGCUGCUGCCUGUGUUUGUUUCUCCAGCACCAAGAAGAAGACCUCGCUCCAAGGAACAGCACCCCCAGGUACUCCGAGGACAGCGGCUCUGUGUGGCCCUGUGUGCGGGGCAGACCGGGCUUCCGUGGUUCUUCUAUGCCAGAACAACUCAGCAGAAAAAA